CGGUAAUACGAAGGGACCUAGCGUAGUUCGGAAUUACUGGGCUUAAAGAGUUCGUAGGUGGUUAAAAAAGUUGGUGGUGAAAUCCCAGAGCUUAACUCUGGAACUGCCAUCAAAACUUUUUAGCUAGAGUAUGAUAGAGGAAAGCAGAAUUUCUAGUGUAGAGGUGAAAUUCGUAGAUAUUAGAAAGAAUACCAAUUGCGAAGGCAGCUUUCUGGAUCAUUACUGACACUGAGGAACGAAAGCAUGGGUAGCGAAGAGGAUUAGAUACCCUCGUAGUCCAUGCUGUAAACGAUGUGUGUUAGACGUUGGAAAUUUAUUUUCAGUGUCGCAGCGAAAGCGAUAAACACACCGCCUGGGGAGUACGACCGCAAGGUUAAAACUCAAAUGAAUUGACGGGGACCCGCACAAGUAGUGGAGCAUGUGGUUUAAUUCGAAGAUACGCGCAGAACCUUACCAACACUUGACAUGUUCGUCGCGACUUUAAGAGAUUAAAGUUUUCGGUUCGGCCGGACGAAACACAGGUGCUGCAUGGCUGUCGUCAGCUCGUGUCGUGAGAUGUUGGGUUAAGUCCCGCAACGAGCGCAACCCUUACUUUUAGUUGCCAUCAUUUAGUUGGGCACUCUGAAAGAACUGCCAGUGAUAAGCUGGAGGAAGGUGGGGAUGACGUCAAGUCCUCAUGGCCCUUACGUGUUGGGCUACACACGUGCUACAAUGGCAUCUACAAUAGGAAGCAAGAUGGCAACAUCAAGCAAAUCCUAAAAAGAUGCCUCAGUUCGGAUUGCACUCUGCAACUCGAGUGCAUGAAGCUGGAAUUACUAGUAAUCGCGGAUCAGCGCGCCGCGGUGAAUACGUUCCCGGGUCUUGUACACACCGCCCGUCACACCAUGGGGAGUUGGUUCUACCUUAAGGCAAAGUGUAAAAACUUUGACCACGGUAUAGUCAGCGACUGGGGUGAAGUCGUAACAAAGUAGCCGUAGGGGA
rnacentral:rRNA from 1 species